ensembl:miRNA mir1-1 microRNA 1-1
CCUGCUUGGGGGACAUACUUCUUUAUAUGCCCAUAUGAACAAGACCAGCUAUGGAAUGUAAAGAAGUAUGUAUCUCAGGUGGGAGA